rnacentral:rRNA from 1 species
GAUGAUCGCUGGCGGCGUGCCUAAUACAUGCAAGUCGAGCGAACAGACGAGGAGCUUGCUCCUUCGACGUUAGCGGCGGACGGGUGAGUAACACGUAGGUAACCUACCUAUAAGACUGGGAUAACUUCGGGAAACCGGAGCUAAUACCGGAUAAUAUUUCGAACCGCAUGGUUCGAUAGUGAAAGAUGGCUUUGCUAUCACUUAUAGAUGGACCUGCGCCGUAUUAGCUAGUUGGUAAGGUAACGGCUUACCAAGGCAACGAUACGUAGCCGACCUGAGAGGGUGAUCGGCCACACUGGAACUGAGACACGGUCCAGACUCCUACGGGAGGCAGCAGUAGGGAAUCUUCCGCAAUGGGCGAAAGCCUGACGGAGCAACGCCGCGUGAGUGAUGAAGGUCUUCGGAUCGUAAAACUCUGUUAUUAGGGAAGAACAAACGUGUAAGUAACUGUGCACGUCUUGACGGUACCUAAUCAGAAAGCCACGGCUAACUACGUG